rnacentral:rRNA from 1 species
AACGAACGCUGGCGGCAGGCUUAACACAUGCAAGUCGAGCGCCCCGCCAGGGGAGCGGCAGCCGGGUGAGUACCGCGUGGGAACGUACCUUUUGGUUCGGAACAACUCCGGGAAACUGGAGCUAAUACCGGAUAAGCCCUAACGGGGAAAGAUUUAUCGCCGAAAGAUCGGCCCGCGUCUGAUUAGCUAGUUGGUGAGGUAACGGCUCACCAAGGCGACGAUCAGUAGCUGGUCUGAGAGGAUGAUCAGCCACACUGGGACUGAGACACGGCCCAGACUCCUACGGGAGGCAGCAGUGGGGAAUAUUGGACAAUGGGCGCAAGCCUGAUCCAGCCAUGCCGCGUGAGUGAUGAAGGCCUUAGGGUUGUAAAGCUCUUUUGUCCGGGAAGAUAAUGACUGUACCGGAAGAAUAAGCCCCGGCUAACUUCGUG